UACGUAGGGGGCUAGCGUUGUCCGGAUUUAUUGGGCGUAAAGAGCGUGUAGGCGGCCAGGUAGGUCUGCUGUGAAAACCCGAGGCUCAACCUCGGGCCUGCAUUCGAUACGGGCUGGCUAGAGUACUGCAGGGGAGACUGGAAUUCCUGGUGUAGCGGUGAAAUGCGCAGAUAUCAGGAGGAACACCGGUGGCGAAGGCGGGUCUCUGGGCAGUAACUGACGCUGGAGGAGCGAAAGCGUGGGGAGCAAACAGG
rnacentral:rRNA from 1 species